GAAGUGGGCGUAACUUGAAGUAGGAGGCGUAACUUGAAGUUGUCCAAAUCACACAGAACCACGCGAGACCUCAAAACGAUAAGUUAUUGGCAAUAUGGCGGCACAGAGUAGAAUAUUGAUUACGUUUUAAGGGAGGCAGGGGUUUUAGGCAGGAUUUGAUUCAUGAUGUGUGUGUAGAUAUUAAUGUUAGGGGACAAUGUGAGAGUGUACGUUUUAGUAGGAAAACGUAUUAUCUGACCCACACUCCGUAACAGAAGAGGGCGGUAAUGCACCAAUAAGCUGGAUGCCAACCGCCGUUAAACUGGAAAGAAGACGAAUAUGACAGCUUGCUGUGAGAGACAACGGGACAGAUGAGACACAUGUGUGUUUAUCUGCUGUAGAGUAACUGAUGAAGGAAUGCUACCAUCAAAGGAUUUGUAUCUUUUGUGGUGGAGCAGGACCUGCAAGGAAAGGUGAAAAAGAGGGAAAACCUGAAACAAAAGAAUAAUGUAAUGACUUUUUGUAUUGUGUAUUUUUGUAGGACAUGAACAUGUCUGUAGACUGGUGUGUGCACUGAGGAUGGAGAAGACCACAGCAUCAUCCUGGAAAUGAUCGAGAGUCACAGAUGAGAUGCUCCAUCACUCCAGCUCUUACCGUCUCAUCAGGACCAGAUGCUGCUGUGGUGUCUUCAUCCUCAGUGACCCCAGAGCCAGUGAGAGCAUCUAGAGAAAGACCACAAGACACUGAGCAUGUGAUUUUGGUAAUGUUUGUUCAGCUGGUUAAUGUUUAAACAAUGAAGGCUGACUUUCAGAAGCUUCAAAAGCAUCAUCAAAAAAUGUGAUGGAGCUUUUAUCUGAAGUGAUUGACAGUGCUCUUAUAACAGGGGCCUACAAUCCCCUGAUCAACCUGGAGAAGAGAGCCUUGCUCAAGGACACACUGGUGUUCCUGUGGCUCAAGGGGUAGAGCAUUGCGUUAGCAGUGCAAGGUUGUGGGUUCGAAUACCAGGGAACACAUGUUAGGUAAAAACUGUUAGUCUGAAUGCACUGUAAGUCACUUUGGAUAAAUGUAUAAUUUAUUUAUAUAUUUGAACCACUUCAGUGGUUUAGCCCACUACAAAAGUAAUAAAUCAUGUACUUGUAAACUCUGUGUAAAUGUUUUUCAGGUAGUCGUGCUCAUGGGGUGCAGGCACACGAAAGUUUGGAGCAGACACAGCAGUCAGAUUGCCCUGCACGUGUUCCCCUGCUCUAGCUUCAAGGUUGUGUGGUUCAGAGAGCCGUCAUCAAGGUCUUCCUCAUCCUGUUGCUCAACGACAUCCCCGUUGAGAAGAGUGAGAUUGUGAAGUGCAGCGGCAGAACUGUAUCAGCUGUGUUCAGAUCGCAGGAGGAUGUUGGGUUCACCAUCUGUAAAUACUUGAUUGUUAGAACAAUAAGUCUGAAUGAAGCUUUGUAUCAUGUGUUGUUGACUUGUGCAUGUAUGCAUUUAUUGUGAUGCUAACUUUUAUACAUUAUUUUAAUCAUUUAGACAUAUUUUUGGUUGUCAGUAAAUAAAAUAUAAAUAUUUUAUCCAUUAAUGUAUUAAUUGCUUGACUGAAAAUGGAUGUAUUCACAUCGAAUGCAUUUAUUUAACUAGUGUAUAUAUUCAUGUAUAGCUGUGUCACAAAAGAAAAUACAUUUGGCUUCUUUUACUAAAAUGUAAUUUUAAGAAAAAAAAAUUAUAUAAUUAUUGGUUGGCAUUUAUCGUUAUUAUUGCAUGGUAAAUGUUGGGGUGGGCAAAAGAUGCAAUUCAUUAUGGGGUAAUGUUAAUUUUCGAGUAGUAAUACUUACAUUUUUAGAGUAUCAAAUCAAGUCUUCUCCAAAGAUGAGAUCUUCAAGCAGCUGAUCGAAGUACCCUUUGUGCAGAUAUUGCAGUCGCUGUGAGGUGUUUGUGCACCUGACCCACUUUUUAUUAUUAUUGCCAAAUUAUUACAUAAAAGAUCAUGGUAAGAGGUUGUAUCUGACAAUAAACAAUCAUAAUGCCAUAAA